UUUUUGUUUAACAACUAUCGACCCAUCGCCUUACUGCCGAUCCUUUCUAAGAUUCUGGAAAAAAUCGUAUAUUCUCAAUUGUCUUCUUAUUUAGCAGUGGAAGGAAUUCUUCAUCAAAAUCAAUUCGGCUUUCGCAAAAAUCAUAGUACUUUCAUGCCUAUCUCCGUUCUUUACGAACACAUUACAAAUGAAUUAAGGAGGAGGCAAGACACGGGGGACUUCACUGAUGAUUGGGUGCUCUGGGCCGGUGAAGCCUAACUGUCUGGAUGGACGCCAGGGAUCGUAGCCCUCUGGCCGUGGCUGCGCCUGUGAGACAUCCAGGAGGGACACCUCGUCUGCUGUUGGCCGCGGGCCAGGACCGGACUGUGAUGUGUCCAGCAGUGACCCCUCGUCUGCUGUUGGCCGCGGGCCGGGGCCGGACUGUGUCGCUCCUACUGCAACUUCCAGGAAGACCUGAUUGAGCAACCCACGGCCAUGUCCGGCGUGAACUGGAUCUCCGGCAGUGAUACUGCCCUAACUUUUUGUGUAUCGACAUGCCGGACCGCCGCACGUGCCGCGGGCGGUGACCGGCUGCCCCGGCGGGUACAUACUGCUUGGCCGGGUGGUGGCGGCGGGCGUGCGGUUACUCACCGAUCUGAAGUCUUCGCCGGGGCUCUGCGUGGCUGAGUUGGAGAGUGUUGCAGUCUCGACGUGCUGGAGAGGAGUGACGGCGGUGCGAACGACGCAGGUCACAUCUGGCCCUCUGUGCGUCAGUCGCCAUCGAGAGGCGACGUGAACUGGAUCCGGUACUCCGACUGUGGCUGCUCUCGGUGUGUUGUGGUUGGCAUGUAUGCACUUUCCGUGACAUACCUAUACUAGUCACCCACGCGGCGCCGGCCUCCCGCACUCGUUGCGGCUGGUACGAUUGCUGACGCCUGAAUCCGUGUGCUGCCACCUGACGGCUGAUAAAUGAACUUAAGCCCACGCGUGUGCCCGUGUUCGACCGUUAGUGUCAUAAAACGGUGCGUUAUCUCUGUGAUGCGGCUGGGAUGUGGUCGGUCGCCACUUACGAUAUGCUGAUGCAGGCGUCAUCAUGUGUUCAUAUGAUCAUCAUAUGAUCAUAUGCGUCAGUAUAUGAUAUAUUGAUGGUUUCCGGAUGCUCUACUCCGUGACCAAUGACUAGCUGCGCUCGCUAGCAUGGCGACAUGCCUACUGCCGGUGUCACGCCCGACUAUGCGGUUCCGGUGCGGAGUUUGAUUUAUCUUGCACUCAUGGUUGAUGGCCUAUUUGACGCUACUGGCAUCUCCCUAACCUCUAACAAAUAACAUGUCUACUUUACUAAUUUAUUAACUGUGACUGUCCCUGUUCCUAUUCCCUGCCCGCCAGUAGCGCCACCUGUAUAUGAACUUGCACCUCAUCAUGUUCACUGUUUGCAAUAUACCGCCGGUGGAAACCGGUCAUGGAUUCAAAA